CAGUCGCCACGGUAAUACGAGGGGUGCAAGCGUUAUUCGGAUUGAUUGGGUGUAAAGGGUGUGCAGACGGCUUAUUAAGUCACUUGUUAAAUUCUUCGGCCUAACUGAAGGUCUGCAAGUGAUACUGAAGAGCUAGAGGGUGGAAGAGAGAAGUGGAAUUCUCGGAGUAGCGGUAAAAUGCGUAGAUCUCGAGAGGAACACCAAUGGCGAAGGCAGCUUCUUGGUCCAUUCCUGACGUUCAUACACGAAAGCGUGGGAGCGAACAGGAUUAGAUACCCCAGUAGUCCCUGUCUCUUAUACC
rnacentral:rRNA from 1 species